GUGCCAGCCGCCGCGGUAAUACAGAGGUGGCAAGCGUUGCUCGGUAUCACUGGGCUUAAAGGGCGCGUAGGCGGUGCGGUGCGGUUUCGGUGAAAUCCCUCGGCCCAACCGAGGAACAGCCGGGGCUACGGCCGCGCUAGACGGCAUCAGGGGACAGUGGAACUCCCGGUGGAGCGGUGAAAUGCGUAGAUAUCGGGAGGAACGCCGGUGGCGAAAGCGACUGUCUGGGGUGCCUGUGACGCUGAGGCGCGAAAGCCAGGGGAUCAAACGGGAUUAGAUACCCCGGUAGUCC
rnacentral:rRNA from 1 species